GGGGAUUAUUAAGGGUUACUGCUAAUAAUCCAAAGAAUUUUGAAGAGUUCAAUCCCUU
rnacentral:tRNA from 1 species